CACCCAUUCGUCUAAUGGUUCAGGACCCUACCCUUUCACGGUAGAAAUACGGGUUCGACUCCCGUAUGGGUGA
rnacentral:tRNA from 1 species